rnacentral:rRNA from 1 species
CCAAGGAUUCCCCCUAGUAACUGCGAGUGAAGCGGGAAAAGCUCAAAUUUAAAAUCUGGCAGUCUCUGGCUGUCCGAGUUGUAAUCUAGAGAAGUAAUGCCCGUGCUGGACCGUGUAUAAGUCUCCUGGGAUGGGGCGUCAUAGAGGGUGAGAAUCCCGUCUUUGACACGGACUACCAGUGCAUUGUGGUAUGCUCUCAAAGAGUCGAGUUGUUUGGGAAUGCAGCUCAAAAUGGGUGGUAAAUUCCAUCUAAAGCUAAAUAUUGGCGAGAGACCGAUAGCGAACAAGUACCGUGAGGGAAAGAUGAAAAGAACUUUGGAAAGAGAGUUAAACAGUACGUGAAAUUGCUGAAAGGGAAACGCUUGAAGUCAGUCGCGUUGGCCGGGAAUCAGCCUUGCUUUUGCAUGGUGUACUUUCUGGUUGACGGGUCAGCAUCAAUUUUGACCGCUGGAAAAAGGCCUGGGGAAUGUGGCAGCUUCGGCUGUGUUAUAGCCCCUAGUCACAUACAGUGGUUGGGAUUGAGGAACUCAGCACGCCGCAAGGCCGGGUUUCGACCACGUUCGUGCUUAGGAUGCUGGCAUAAUGGCUUUAAGCGACCCGUCUUGAAACACGGACCAAGGAGUCUAACAUGCCUGCGAGUAUUUGGGUGGAAAACCCAAGUGCGUAAUGAAAGUGAAAGUUGAGAUCCCUGUCGUGGGGAGCAUCGACGCCCGGACCAGAACUUUUGGGACGGAUCCGCGGUGGAGCAUGUAUGUUGGGACCCGAAAGAUGGUGAACUAUGCCUGAAUAGGGUGAAGCCAGAGGAAACUCUGGUGGAGGCUCGUAGCGAUUCUGACGUGCAAAUCGAUCGUCAAAUUUGGGUAUAGGGGCGAAAGACUAAUCGAACCAUCUAGUAG